rnacentral:lncRNA from 1 species
CAGAGCAUCUGACCUCUUUUCAGGAACUGCAGAAAAUGAAAUGAAAAAUGAGACAAGGAAAGCUUGCCAGCCUUUCAUAUGGCUACAGUUGCUAAGGAAACUGCUUUCUUAGCUUCAACCUGUCCAGUAUAGCCCAUUUCAUGCAUUCUUCUGGGUUUUUGAAAAUAAAAAUACCAAAGAGGGAAAAAAUGAUAGGGAAUAAAAGUCGGCAUUGUCCUGGUGGAAACAGAGCCUUGCACUGUUUCUCUCUGCUAUGGUGUUGCUGUUUCCCAGUCACCUAGAAUAUUUGCCACCUGGCAAAACCCUCCUGGAACUAAAAUCAUAGAAUUAGCCAAUAGGGUAAACAAAACAAUAGGAAGCCCUAUUUGACAUGCAGCAGUAGCUAAAAAACUGCUUUCUCACCCCAACUGGGCUCUCUUUCCUGCUGGGAAAGUAGGAGGCAGCUCUUAACACAGCAGGAAAAGUGUCUCAGCUCUCUCCUGCCCCACAUCUCAGAAGAAACUGCUCCAAGUUUCUCAGCACCAUGAAUACGACCUGGAGUUCCACCUGUGAAUCAAAAUUGCACAUAUGAGAAGGUGCAAGCCGGGAACUCCAGUCUUCAAGUCAAAUGAGGAUAAUAGGCUGGUUAUACACAAUAGAGAAAUCAAAGGAAUAGCAAGAAGGAUGCAUGAAGCAGGGGAGGAAGGUGCAGUGUGUAGUGCUUCUCCAUGGACGUCAAGGUCCCCAGCCCCUGGCUACACAUCAGAACCAUGCAGGGGGCAGGUAAAAACACCCAAGCCUGGCGCCUGCUACAGAGCAAUUAAGUCAAAAUAUCGAAGUACAAAGCCCUGGUGCUUCCUAGGUUGAAAAUCACUGGUUUAUAUGAAGAAUAAUUUCAAAAUGUGAUUAGUCAAAGGUAAAAUUAUUUCUGAAUGCAAGAGCCAGCUUAAGAAAGUGCUAAGAUGUUAGUUGUUGGGUUCUGGUUACAAGGUUAAGUAGGGGUGUGGGUGUGUGGGUGUGUGUGUGUGUAACACAAUAGUAUGUUCCUUGUUCUUAUUGUUCUUUUGUUUGUUUGCUUGGUUGUUUUUUUGUUUUUUCAUUGUUGUGGUUUUUACAAAAUUGCCUUAGCUAAUAAAAUCUUGGGAUAACCUAGACAUAGAAAGGCAUACAUCAAAGGAGCCAAAGAUGUAGCUUCCCAUUAGGAAAUGCUUUUGUUGUAUAGAUGCCAACUACUUGGCCCUGCCUGAAGAAUGCAAACUUCUAUAUGAAACCCUGGC